CCUACGGGAGGCAGCAGUGGGGAAUAUUGGGCAAUGGAGGAAACUCUGACCCAGCAACGCCGCGUGAAUGAUGAAGGUCUUCGGAUUGUAAAGUUCUUUUCUAAGGGAAGAAGAAAGUGACGGUACCUUAGGAAUAAGCCUCGGCUAACUACGUGCCAGCAGCCGCGGUAAUACGUAGGAGGCGAGCGUUAUCCGGAAUGACUGGGCGUAAAGGGUGCGUAGGUGGUUUGACAAGUUAGUAGCGUAAUUCCGGGGCUCAACUUCGGAACUACUACUAAAACUGUUGGGCUUGAGUGCAGGAGAGGUGAAUGGAAUUCCUAGUGUAGCGGUGGAAUGCGUAGAUAUUAGGAGGAACACCAGCGGCGAAAGCGAUUCACUGGACUGUAACUGACACUGAGGCACGAAAGCGUGGGGAGCAAACAGGAUUAGAUACCCGUGUAGUC
rnacentral:rRNA from 1 species